rnacentral:rRNA from 1 species
UACGUAGGUCCCGAGCGUUGUCCGGAUUUAUUGGGCGUAAAGCGAGCGCAGGUGGUUUAUUAAGUCUGGUGUAAAAGGCAGUGGCUCAACCAUUGUAUGUAUUGGAAACUGGUAGACUUGAGUGCAGGAGAGGAGAGUGGAAUUCCAUGUGUAGCGGUGAAAUGCGUAGAUAUAUGGAGGAACACCGGUGGCGAAAGCGGCUCUCUGGCCUGUAACUGACACUGAGGCUCGAAAGCGUGGGGAGCAAAUAGG